UCCGAUUUGUCACCGGCAGUCUCCUGGUAGUCCACGCCCUAAACUAUGUCAACUGGUUGUUGGGGGUUUGACACUCUCAGUAACGAAGCUAACGCGUGAAGUCGACCGCCUGGGGAGUACGGCCGCAAGGUUAAAACUCAAAGGAAUUGACGGGGACCCGCACAAGCGGUGGAUUAUGUGGAUUAAUUCGAUGCAACGCGAAAAACCUUACCUACCCUUGACAUGUCCGAGAGCCCGUAGAGAUAUGGGUGUGCCCGAAAGGGAAUCGGAACA
rnacentral:misc_RNA from 1 species